AUUUGAAAGAAGAAAAAAGAAAACCCUUUAAACUCAAAUUUCCAAACAUCAAACCAGAAAAAAAAUUCCUCACCAGGUGAAAUGCGUCCAAAACCCUAACCCAAAAUAAAUCUUUUUUUUUUUGGCAUAUUUGCCUAAUUUUGCCAAAUAAUUCCACUGCCUUUUGAUCUAAAAUCAAAGCAUUUUUGAACCAUUUUUUAUGUUCUUCCAUAUCCAAAACCCUAACCCAAAUUUAGCAUCUGACCAAAAUUCCAUCCUUUUUACUGUCAUUUUCAAUUGAAUCCUUAACAAAUUCGCAUCAAAAUCAACUAUGAAAGAAACGAAACCAGUUAAAUUGAAUGCACAGCAACAUCAGCAACACGAAAACGGUCACUUUUCCCCGUUCAAGUUCGCCAAGUUAUUAGAUCCGGAAGCUUCUUGGGAUAAAGAUCAAUUAGGAGAUGUAUUGCAUUGGAUUCGACAAGUUGUGGGGCUUUUAUGUGGAUUAUUAUGGGGAGCAAUCCCUGUGGUUGGAGGCAUUUGGAUCUUCAUUUUUCUGGUCAUAUCCACUUCAAUCAUAUACGGUUAUUAUGCUAUGAUACUAAAGGUCGAUGAAGAAGAAUUUGGUGGUCAUGCAACCCUUCUCCAAGAAGGGCUUUUUGCUUCAAUAACUCUCUUUCUGUUGGCGUGGGUUCUAGUAUACAGCUUGGCCCACUUUUGAUAUACUUUUGUAUCAUCAACCUGCUGUCCUGUGUUUCAACAACACAUAUCAAGGAUUCGAUUCCAUUAGGCAAGAGGAACCAUUCAUUAUUCCCAGAAAACAAUUAGAAACUUUCUUACUUGGGAAAAUGCCAAUAGUGUUACCUUAUUGAGCCCACAGAAUGAAGCAGUUUGUGCUUGAAUGUUCUUUUACAUGAAAAAAAAGGGUGGAUUUCUAGUAGAUGUGCCGAUUUUUACUGGAGGAUGGUAGUGGGUUGGGUAUCUGCAAUAUUCUUGUAAAAUCUGAAUUCCAAUAUGCUAAAUCCGCUUUAAAAUCUAAAUUUGUAUAUUACCUGCAUUACUAUCCGAAUCUAAAUUAAUUAAAUUAUCUACUAGAAUUUUACAAAUUAAA